AAAUUGAAGAGUUUGAUCAUGGCUCAGAUUGAACGCUGGCGGCAGGCCUAACACAUGCAAGUCGAACGGUAACAGGAAGCAGCUUGCUGCUUUGCUGACGAGUGGCGGACGGGUGAGUAAUGUCUGGGAAACUGCCCGAUGGAGGGGGAUAACUACUGGAAACGGUAGCUAAUACCGCAUAACGUCGCAAGACCAAAGAGGGGGACCUACGGGCCUCUUGCCAUCGGAUGUGCCCAGAUGGG
rnacentral:rRNA from 1 species